CGCGCUGAACUAAAGCAUAUCAUUAAGCGGAGAGACAAGAAACUAACAAGGAUCUCUCCUUAGUAACUGCGAGUGAAGCAGGGAAGAGCUGCAGAUUUAAAAUCUGCGCAGUGUCUUGCUGUCCGAGUUGUAAUCUAGAGAAGUGCUGCCCGGGCUGAUACCAUGUACAAGUCUCCUGGAAUGGAGCGUCACAGAGGGUGAGAAUCCCGUCUUUGACAUGGACUACCAGUGCAUUUGUGGUGUGCUCUCACAGAGUCGAGUUGUUUGGGAAUGCAGCUCUAAAUGGGUGGUAAAUUUCAUCUAAAGCUAAAUAUUGGCCAGAGACCGAUAGCGCACAAGUAGAGUGAUCGAAAGAUGAAAAGCACUUUGGAAAGAGAGUUAAACAGUACGUGAAAUUGUUGAAAGGGAAGCGCUUGCAACCAGACUUGCACGUAGUUAAUCAUCCGGGGUUCUCCCCGGUGCACUUGGCUACGUUCAGGCCAGCAUCGGUUUUGGUGGUUGGAUAAAGGCCUAGGGAAUGUGGCAUCCUUUUGGAUGUGUUAUAGCCCAUUGUCGCAUACGGUGGUUGGGAUUGAGGAACUCAGCAUGCCACAAGGCCGGGUCUUUUUUGACCACGCUCAUGCUUAGGAUGCUGGCAUAAUGGCUUUAAUCGACCCGUCUUGAAACACGG
rnacentral:rRNA from 1 species